CCAUGUUGAAGAUUAUCUCUAUUCUAUAAAUAUGUAAAAUAAAAUAAAAUGAUGCUUCCCAAUUACUUAUGGGCUUACUCUACUGGAGCCCAAUACCCAAUCGAAAUUUAAACCACAACGUGGGCCAUAUCUGAAUGAGUAAUUUCUCAACACACGAUCGUCUCAAUACAUCAUAAGAAUAAUAAAAUUAGCCAUAACUCUUACCACAUGAAUGUUUCAAAUUAUACACAAUACUGAAAUCAAGAUUCAAAUCUAUUUAUAUUGCUGAAUGUUUCUAUGUACUGAAUUUCUCUACUCUUAAGACUAAGAUAACCAACAACACUUAAACAAUUGACUUCAUGACUCUUCAUGCAUCUGGUUUCAUCUUGAAUUCCAUGCUUAAACUCCAUCCUCAUAGGUUAAAAGUAUCAACAGUAAACAAGAUUUAUACCUCAUUCUCAUGAGGAUACUAACUGCAGCAAUCAAACAAUGUUAGAAUCUUCAAGUAUGAAAAUAUUCAUUUCAAAUAGCUAAUCAACAAAUAGACUUAAACAUUGAAUUCAAAAAAAAGGAGCGAGAAUCGAACAUUUAGCAAAGAAAGCAAUGGCCAGAUUAAAUGAAACAAGGCAAAAAGCAGACUUAAUCAGGCAUCUUUAUAAUUUCUACAUUAAAAAGGGAACUACAACUGAAUUUUUGACGUACCUAACAAAAGCAAAAGCCAAUAAUGACUAAAUAAGGAACAAUGACGAAAGAUAGGAGUUCCAAACUACUUGCUCGAGUGAGUAGUAGCAAAACAGCAGCAGAAAACCACUAAGAUCCUUUGAAGCCCAGUAAAAUGCAAGAGAAGACUUCAGACUUUAGCUACUACUCAAAGCUUAGAGUCUAAGAAUGGAAAAAUGAAGGAGUGUAUCAAUUUUCUCCCAGAAUGCCCAGAUUUUUCUUUUGCCCUUUUUAAUGAAUGUGCAUGGGUUUAUAUAAUGAGUGUACCCUUGUGAGAGAAAAAAAAUCAGAGGGAAUAUAGGGAUCCGUCAGCUGAAAAUCAGGAGAAAAAGUAUCUCUUUUUUCAACCAAU
rnacentral:lncRNA from 1 species